rnacentral:lncRNA from 1 species
UUAGGAGAAGAGCCCGACGCCUUGGAUUUAUUCUUGUAAGAAGAAGGAGCUGCAGCAGCAACCGCCCGGCGUUUGCUACUCCUGAUAAUCUGCACCUCGUCAUCGUCUUUGGAAGGAGCAACUCGUUUAGGGGCAGCUUUCCUUGCGGACAUCACCUCAAGAGCUUUGUUGUACUCUGCCAAAGCCUCGUCACCCUUGGAUCCUGACAUCUCACCUAGCACAUGAAAGUAAAUCAAGUCAGCAACUAUAAAGAAGAAGUAUGGAAGAAAAUGGGAAGCUGACCCCAUAUACUGCAACG